GGUUCCGUAGUGUAGUGGUUAUCACGUUCGCUUCACACACGAAAGGUCUCCGGUUCGAUCCCGGACGAACCA
rnacentral:tRNA from 1 species